CUCGAUCGUCACGUGAUUGUGGGCGUGCUGAAGCAGGGAUCGAAACACCGUCUCGGAACACUUUCGCUUCAAAAGCUCGGCACUGUGUCGAGGAAACUGGAUCGACCCGUCAUUAUGUUCUGGCAGAAGGACCGGCAGAGUGGAGCGGUGAUUCGCAAGAAGGCAAAACAGCAGGUGGAGUGAUCAAAGACACACGACAAUACCUGUAAAUGUGCUGGUAAAUAUUUUCUGCAUACUCCAGACCAAACCCCUCCUCUGAUACCAGGGAUUCAUUUGGUUCAGACUGCAUGGAAACAUCCUGGCAUGAACCUACAGAAGCAAACACCAGACGCAGCAAGAACCACUUCACAAGCCUCUUCGACGUACACAUCGUAGCUGGAACUGGAUGGACAGCCAAGAAAGUUGAGCUGGGAGCUGUCUGACACUGAACUGCGUUUGGAUAAUUGGCUUCCCUGAGGAGGAAAAUGAGUUGACAUGAUCGUCACAUCAGGCUGGAAUGUAAAUGUAAAACCUGUGAACUAUCAUGCUCUCCACGGUGCCUCUCAUGCCUACCUGACUGACGGAUCGACUACGAUGCUCAUUUUCCGACAAGACGCCGAGCACUGUGCGUUGUUUGGUUCUCUGGACCUGCAGUGCAUCUGCUUUGGUUGAAGAUGUGACAUUUUCUUUGCCAGUGUGACCACCACGACUGGCAGCUCUGCAGAAGUUCAUCUUUAAACAGGGAGAUGAGAAAAGAGAGUAAAAAAGAAGUGCCAGGAAGACAUGAAACACAGUGAGAAGAAUUAUUGUUUAACAUUGAGCUGCCUCAGUUAAGUAAAAUAUAUUGUGUUGCCUUUGUCAGUUCUCUGUAUGUACAGAGUGCCUGUCUGUUGGUAUCUGAAACAGAGUUGCAAGAUGAAUCUGGCAGGUUGCAGGACAAGGAUAGCAAAUUAGGAAUCAAUUGUGCAUAUUUUUCCAAUAUAAAAAAAAAAAAAAAUAGGAUUUUCUUUUAGAUCAAAAACACUUAAAACAAUAAAGGAUAAGUUAACUUACAUUCAUAUGGACUGGGAAGUAUUAUUCAAUAACAGCAAUGUAUGACAAAUUGUAAUCUACUCAAUAUACUUUAGAAACCAAAGAAUAAUAAAUUAACUUGGUGUAAGGGUAUAACUGUAUGCAGCAUCAGAUUUUAUAGUUUUAAACCAGAUUUUGAAAAAACAAUAUUCACAGUUUGCCAUAGUGUAAUAAAUAUAAACAGUCUGACACAAAAAAGAUACAUGCAACACUUUAAUUUCUUUACUUACAAGGGUCACGCAAGAAAUACAGAUGGGAACCGCAGCAACAGCUUAAUGUGACAUACUCUCAUGAGAUACUGUAUGUGAUACUAGUGAGUUUAUGGUUGUCCUGACCACAUUACAGCAGCUAGAUAAGGCUGCAGUAACAACUGAGGAGGAUAGAAGCAGAGUGGUCUAACUCACAGAAAAUCCAAACUAAGUUUUAUAUAAUUUCUGUAAUAUUUUAUGGUCUAGAUUUCAGUGGCAAAGUGGUCGAACCCACAACCCAAAUAUAGCAUUACAGUGGCGAUUUAAAUAUUAGACCAUUCUUGAAAACACUAAAUUUUGAACCAGUUUUACUCAGAAACUACAGACCACUCUACUUCUAAACCCUUCAAUUACAGUUAUUGUUUGCCGUUUUUUUAUUAAUUCAUGAUUUUGUCUAUAAAAUACUGAAAAAUGUGACUUAUUCAUAUUACAUGUUUACUUUUUUUAAAGCCCUGAAAAAGUUUACAGCAGUUUGAAAUACACCAUGGCUGUGGAGGGAAUGCACUUUUUUUUCCAAUUUUUGUGGUCUGAGAAUGCACAUAUUCUAUCUAUUAAGCAUCUAAUUUGGCUUUUCUUUGUGAUUAUUCCAGUUAGCGCUAUCAUUUGCCGUAGGAGAAGCCUCCAGCUCUGUUGCUCCUCAGAGUUGAUUCACUUGAAUUUUUUGCUGAAUCCAAAAUUUCUAAAUAAGAUGCCUCGUCUUCUUUUUGACAUAUCUGUAUGUUGACUACACAAUACCACACAGACUGAGGGUUAGUGUUUGCUCUUCAUCUAUUUCAUUCUGAUUUAGGUUUAUGGCAGCUGGCAUUAAGAAAGUUUUUUUUUUCAAAUCUUUGAGUGAAGCUUGUGAUAUGGUGCCACCAUACUUCAUGAUUACAGGCAUAAUCUAUGAUUAUCAAGAUUUCAAAGAUGCUCAAAAUGACACAGAUCCUGUCUUUAGGAGAGCUCAUGUCUCCUCUGCAGUUUGUUCACUAUGGUAUAAAGGACAGCAUCAAAUCAUCUUAUCCAAAAGACUCUGGCCAGUGAAAUUGAUUUGCAAAUCUGCCUGAAAAAGACAAGACAUUUGACUUUUUACUGAUUGAUGAAUUCAGGUCUGUGAGGAAAAGUACAAAAACAGAAAUGUCCAUUUUUACUAACUGCUCUCACAACAUCAAAAGAAAAGCUGCGUGGGAAAUCAGUUGCACUAAAAGUUUAAGAAUGGUAAUAAGGUCUUGCAUUAAACAUGUAAGCAUCA